rnacentral:tRNA from 1 species
GCUCGCAUAGUUCAGUUGGUUAGAGCACCCGUUUAGUAAGCGGGGAGGUCAGGUCUUGAGUUCGAAUCUCAAUGAAAGCA